rnacentral:rRNA from 1 species
GAUGAACGCUGGCGGCGUGCCUAAUACAUGCAAGUCGAGCGAACAGACGAGGAGCUUGCUCCUCUGACGUGAGCGGCGGACGGGUGAGUAACACGUGUAUAACCUACCUAUAAGACUGGGAUAACUUCGGGAAACCGGAGCUAAUACCGUAUAAUAUAUUGAACCGCAUGGUUCAAUAGUGAAAGACGGUGUUGCUGGCACUUAUAGAGGGAUCCGCGCCGCAUUAGGUAGUUGGUAAGUUAACGGCUUACCAAGGGAACGAUGCGUAGCCGACCUGAGAGGGUGAUCGGCCACACUGGAACUGAGCCACGGUCCAGACUCCUACGGGAGGCAGCAGUAGGGAAUCUUCCGCAAUGGGCGAAAGCCUGACGGAGCAACGCCGCGUGAGUGAUGAAGGUCUUCGGAUCGUAAAACUCUGUUAUUAGGGAAGAACAAAUGUGUAAGUAACUAUGCACGUCUUGACGGUACCUAAUCAGAAAGCCACGGCUAACUACGUG